GAAGGCCUGCGGGUUGUAAAGCACUUUCAGUAGGGAGGAAACAGUUACGGGUUAAUCGCCUGUGACCUUGACGUUCCCUACNGAAGAGGCACCGGCUAACUCUGUGCCGGCGGCCGCGKUAUUCCAGAGGGUGCGAGCGUUAAUCGGAAUUCCUGGGCGUAAAGCGCGCGUAGGCGGCUUGGUCAGUCGGAUGUGAAAGCCCCGGGCUUACCCUGGGAAUUGCAUUCGAUACUGCCAGGCUGGAAUGUAGUAGAGGGAAGUGGAAUUUCGGGUGUAGCGGUGAAAUGCGUGGUUAUCCGAAGGACCAUCRGUGGCGAAGGCGACUUCCUGGACUAUCAUUGCCGCUGRGGUGCGAARGCGUGGGGGGCAAACGGGAUUGGNUGCCCUGGURGUCCACGCCGUAAACGAUGUCAACUAGAUGUUG
rnacentral:rRNA from 1 species